AACCAAAGGCGGCCUCCAAUCCCCAAUUCGCUUCGCUCCCCGCAACCUAACCCUAGCUUCCUCCUUCCCUUCCCCUUCCCCUACCUAUGGAUCCGCCGCCCACCAGGGAGGAAUCCGAGCCCGGAUCCCGUCCCUUCCCCGACGCCGACGAGCCGGGGACCUCCCGAUCGGAACGCGACGAGCCGGGGACUUCCCCAUCGGAACGCGACGACCCGUCGUCGGGUGCUCCGCCGCCUCCUCUACGCCAGCAGCUCAUGGGGGCUUGCCGCGCCGACGAGCGCCUCAGGCCUCUCCUCACCCUCAACGUCUCCUGCACCGCCGCCGACGACCGUUUCCUCGCGCACCUCGCGCAGCACUUCGAGGUCUCGGAGGUCGGCAUGCUCGCGCGAUGCCUGUGCGUUCCCCUCGUCUCCCUGCGCGUUGGCAAGGUUCAGAGGGACGGCGCCCUCCUCUGCCCAACACCAACUAGGUAAUUUGGGCGUGUGUCAUAAUCUCUGAUAUAUGAGGAAAGAGAAGAGGGAAGCUGGACCUUGGUCUUCUGCCGUCAUCUAGCAUGUGCCUUACCUUUGUUGGUGAUGAUGGUUAUUCAGAGCAACUAGCUCUCUUGAGCAACGGCUUUGAAUGCUUGGAAGUUGUGAUUGAAGAAAUAUCAGCUGAUAAUUCUGGGCGCUCUUUCCUAGUCAGAAUUUCAAAGUCUAAAGUAUUUUACUACUGGUGUGCUGAGAAGUCAAAGGAACAUGGAAUGAAACUUCUUUCGAAGAUGAAAAGCCUUUUGGAUGGGAGACCAACGCUUUCUGAUCUGACUGGCAUUUCCGAUUCACGACUUGAUGCUUUUGCCACUCAUUUACAUGCUUAUCUUCUCGCAUCAAGUAUUGGUGAUGUUAAAUCGUUGGGAUCACUUAAUGACUUUUUGGGUCCGUCAAGACCGCAUGAUCAAUAUUUGCAGCUCCAAUCAGCUGUUUCCAAGACUUCCAGGUUUCGUGCCUCUAUAAGUAAUGUGACGAAGUCAAGCUCUGUCUAUCAAACCAGCUUAAGUCCCAGAUCUGGCACUUUUAAAGAUGGUGUGCCCAGGGCUUCGUGUUCAAGGGUUGUUGGGAGAGAGAAAUUGAAGCAUCGUGCAGAAUGGUCGAGCCCAUCAAUUGCUCCCCUUGAUGCAAAUCAUUUAGCAUCAAGUAGUAUCAACCCUGAUUCUACCAGUGAGAAGUGUGAUGCAGAUUGUUCAAGAAACAUUGUUACCUCAGUUCCGUUGAACUUGCCUCUUGCAUUUCCCUUGUUGCCAUCUAUCUAUUCUCUUGGUACUUGUCCGCCAUCUGAGGUUUCUUUGGAGAAGCAGUUUAAGCCUUACUAUUGCUGGUGCCAGCCAUGUCCAUCGUCACUGCAAUACACUGUUUCCCAUCUGCAUCUGCCGGCUACAUCUGUAGAUCCAUUACCCCUACCACCUUUGAGUUCUCUGGUAGCAAAUGAGCAGCAACCUUGUUCAGAAGUGUCUCCAAAUCUGAAUACAACUGAUCUCCCUUCCCUUAAUCUUCCAUCGAUACUGCAUGAUCCUUUACUUCACCUGCCACUUCCCACUUCGCCACUUGUUCCCCUACAUGGUUCACAGGUUCCAACAUUCACGCCAUUGAUGUCUGAUCCCAUUGUGCAUGUCCCAGUCAUUGAUGUGUGUUCUGCUGGGCAGGCAUACCUGGUGAGUUGUGGUCCUUCAAUAUCCUCAGCAGUUCCCCUGCUUCCUAGCUUGAAGCCUCUGCUGCCAGAAGCAGACUCAUUAGUCGAGAGAAGUGCUAGGGAAACACUAAUGAGGCUCAUAGCUUCGGCACCACCUGCAAGCAAUCCUCAGUUAGCGAACAUUCUCCCUUUGGUCGUGCCAGAAAGUAUAUCUCACGCUAAUAAUGUGAACAAGCAUGCUGAUGCUGACCCUGAGGACAAAGAUUUUGGUACAUCUUGUGUUGCUGCGUUUGGAAGUGGGAUUGGAGGCGUGGAGCUGUACUCCGAGGAUGAAGUUUCAAGCGGGGAUGUUAUUCAUGAAUCAUUUUCAGAAUAUGAUGAUACCAACGCCGACUGUGAUGUACAACAUUGCCAGAAAAUUUAGUUUGCAACAGUUUGGCACUAGAGAAAUAGGGGGUGUUUUCCGCUAGCUAAAUGCUGGUAUGGAAUGUCGUAAUAUUUUGAGCAACUGUUGCAUCACCACGGUAAAUAGGUUUUCAGGGAUUUGGUGAUUUGAUGCUCUCAGCAGCCUCCUUUAACGCCGCUUAUCUGGCUGGCAAGUGUAAUUAGUUGUUCGAACUGUGCUUCGUUUUGUCAAACUUACUGUGAACCUAAGUUAUUUUAGUCGUUUGUUUUAUGCA